GUCGAAAACAUAGUCAUGAUCUACAGGCCUAUAAAUUUUAUUGAAUAACAAAUCAGACCAUUUUUAACUCAACGAUACAUGCUCAAAAUAGUUCAUGACAGAUACAUAUAAUUGCUUCAAUUAUUUACUAAUUUUAAAACCAUAUCUUGUCAAAACACCUCAGAACAGCAAAACACAUCAGGCAUGUUAUAACAAGCUUUGCUUGUCAAGCAAGCAGGCAUUGAUAGACAGCAAAUGACAAACUGACAAAAGAGAAGGAGAAUAAUAUUACUCCAUUUACUUCCACGUUACAAAGACCAAAUUUGAGCAACCACCAUAUACGUAGUUCACUUUCAAGCAAAUUAUUCCAACUCAUGGAUUCUUUCCAUAACUAACAUAUUCUUUUGCAUCAUUUCCCACAUGACAAUCAACUUAU
rnacentral:misc_RNA from 1 species